CCUAACGUUCGCCAUCGUAAGCCUAAGAAGCAAUUUAUUGAGCCUGUGAAGCCAUACACGACCGGUCUCCCGCCCAAAAGUAGCACCCCUUCCUUUGUUCCGGUCUCGUCUUACCCGACCACUGUAUCUUAUGAUAGUAACACAGCAGCUGAGCAACUAAAGGCGACGGAAGACUUAGUUACAUUGUAUUUGACGCCUGAGGACGAUUUCACACAGUCACCCCCAUGGAGCAGAUCG